rnacentral:rRNA from 1 species
UACGGAGGGUGCGAGCGUUGUCCGGAAUCACUGGGCGUAAAGCGCACGUAGGCGGCUUUCUAAGUCAGGGGGUGAAAUCCUGGAGCUCAACUCCAGAACUGCCUUUGAUACUGGAGAGCUUGAGUCCGGGAGAGGUGAGUGGAACUCCGAGUGUAGAGGUGAAAUUCGUAGAUAUUCGGAAGAACACCAGUGGCGAAGGCGGCUCACUGGCCCGGUACUGACGCUGAUGUGCGAAAGCGUGGGGAGCAAACAGG